UCCUUUUUCCAUGAUCUUUACAAGUUUAUAACUUUGGUUUUGAAGAUCUUUGAGCUUAGAACGAGUUUUGGAGUUUGGAGACCAAAAGUUGGAACUUCCCCCAUCUCCAAGUUUAGAUCUCCUCAACCCUCGAUCUUCAAGAGGUAAGAGCCGAUCUUAAGCUCAAUGUAUGAUUUAAACAAGUUUUAUGAAGUUUUAAGGGGUAGAAUGCAUGUUAGGGUAUAUGUUAAACCUAUGGGUUUUUGAUGACUUUUUGAACAAUGUAGCUUGAUUGUGUGUGAUUGAAGUGUUGUAGAUGGGGUAUAUGCAUGUUUGAGGCCCCUAGGAACUUGUAUGCAUGCUUUGGUUGAACAAUAUGCAUGUUUGGAAGGUUUGGAGGCGAAAUGUGCUAAGGGAGCCAAGUUUCUGCCCUUUGGCAGAAACCAGGUUCGGCAGCCGAAGGUACUUUCGGCCGCCGAACAUGGCUAGGGAGGCAGGCCUUUCGGCUGCCGAAGUUGCCCCCGAAAAGAGACUUUCGUCUCUGUCUGGCACUUUCGGCCGCCGAAGGUGCCGCCGAACCUACCUGAGUUUCGUCUCUGUCCAGGACUUUCGGCCGCCGAAGGUGCCGCCGAAAGUGCCCUGUUCAGCCAUUUCUUGCAUGUUUUCAUGUGAUGUUUUCAGGAUGUUUUAGGGGGUUUUUGGGGAGUAUUUUAGAGUCAUGUUCAUGUAUGUUUGGUGCCUCAUUUGAGUCCACCUGUGUAGGUUCGGACCCGAGGAACCAAGACCCCCGGUUGUGAGAUAGUCGUUCAGAGUUCGUUGUUAAAGCUUCAGUUACCAAGUGAGUGGAACAACCCCCUUAAGCUUUAAAGUAAAUGAAUAAAUGAAUGAAUCAUAAAGCAUUGCCCAUGCAUCAUUAUGCCAUGCAAUAUUAGGUUGUUUGCAUUAGAAUUCACGAAUAUGUUGCAUUGCAUACUUUGUUGUUGAUGUGGAUGAAUGUUGAAUGAUCCAUUAGCCCUUGUAUGUCAUGAUAGCCUAUGUGAGUCCAGGUGUGCCUGCUACGGCUCUACGCCCCUGGCACUAUGACUGAUUAUGGAAGUCCGGGUGUGCCUGCUACGGCUCUACGCCCCCGGCAUGUAUAAGUAAGAAAGAUUGGGGCUAAAUGGUGACAAGUUCAUCCUUGUUGUGAAAUGUUUGUGUUAUGGCGCAUACAUGAAAGCAUGAAUAAGAAAAAGUUAUAUGAUAAUAAUAAUAAUAAAAUGAAUAAUAAUAUACCUAAAAAUGGAGGAAUUAAAACAAAUGUUUUUAGUUUCUGCUCACUGGGCUCUAGUAGCUCACCCCACUCCCUUUAUCCCCAGAGUUGCAGGUACAGGAUAGAUCAAGAAGUCGGCUAGAGUGAAGUCAAGUCAUGUAUGUUGUAAUAGAUAGUAGUGGACAUGAACAUGAUGUAAUGAGUAUGUAUGACCAUGUAAUGUAAUGAAUGAUUUGAUGAUGUAUUGAGGAUUAUAGUAGUGCUUGACCUAGAGAUGUGUGAAUCCCCAUUAUGUACAGAGUGUUUAAUGAGUAAUGAUGUUAAUG
rnacentral:lncRNA from 1 species